rnacentral:rRNA from 1 species
UGGUGGCGAGUGGCGAACGAGUGAGUAAUACAUCGGAACAUGUCCUGUAGUGGGGGAUAGCCCGGCGAAAGCCGGAUUAAUACCGCAUACGAUCUACGGAUGAAAGCGGGGGACCUUCGGGCCUCGCGCUAUAGGGUUGGCCGAUGGCUGAUUAGCUAGUUGGUGGGGUAAAGGCCUACCAAGGCGACGAUCAGUAGCUGGUCUGAGAGGACGACCAGCCUUACUGGGACUGAGACACGGCCCAGACUCCUACGGGAGGCAGCAGUGGGGAAUUUUGGACAAUGGGCGAAAGCCUGAUCCAGCAAUGCCGCGUGUGUGAAGAAGGCCUUCGGGUUGUAAAGCACUUUUGUCCGUAAAGAAAUCCUUGGCUCUAAUACAGUCGGGGGAUGACGGUACCGGAAGAAUAAGCACCGGCUAACUACGUGCCAGCAGCCGCGGUAAUACGUAGGGUGCAAGCGUUAAUCGGAAUUACUGGGCGUAAAGCGUGCGCAGGCGGUUUGCUAGACUGGCAGGCUAGAGUAUGGCAGAGGGGGGUAGAAUUCCACGUGUAGCAGUGAAAUGCGUAGAGAUGUGAGGAAUACCGAUGGCGAAGGCAGCCCCCUUGCUCCAAUACUGACGCUCAUGCACGAAGCGUGUGGAGCAAACAGGAUUAGAUACCCUGGUAGU